UACGUAGGGUGCAGGCGUUAAUCGGAAUUACUGGGCGUAAAGCGUGCGCAGGCGGUUUGCUAAGACAGGUGUGAAAUCCCCGGGCUUAACCUGGGAACUGCGCUUGUUACUGGCAGGCUUGGAGUGUGGCAGAGGGGGGUGGAAUUCCACGUGUAGCAGUGAAAUGCGUAGAGAUGUGGAGGAACACCGAUGGCGAAGGCAGCCCCCUGGGCUAACACUGACGCUCAUGCACGAAAGCGUGGGGAGCAAACAGG
rnacentral:rRNA from 1 species